UCAGAUACAUGAAAACUUUGCUGGCGUAUGCAGUCGCCAUAAAUAAGGCAUGGCUUAACCUCUAUCACCAGCCAAAAAGAAACGAGAGGAGCCAAUGGCAUCAAGAGGAAGUGAGUUCGGUCAUAAUACUAAGUAGAUUUGGACAUAUGAUGGUAGUGUUUACAAUGACCAUUAGGAACGUCUGCUACUAUGAGAUAGUCGACACAAACGAAACAACGAAUGCGACCCGGUGUCUCAAGUUCCUCAAGAAGCUAUUAAAAUCCAUCAAGCUUCCACCUGUCUUGAAGGCGGUGCCAAUGAAAACUAAUGGCCGUACGCUUUGCCGCCUUCUUCGCUCACUUUCCGUAAGGUGAUCUACCUACAGAUAAUACAAAAAGCGCCGUAGUCUGGGUAGCAGUAAAACUUCUGCAACGAUGGAAGAGCGAAAUCUGUGGAACUGGUGUAACUGUAGUGAGGAUCAGGUGUGGCACUGGAUCGUCCUACGUUACCGCGACGAUCUUUACGAACAAGGUGACCAGAACAUGCCAAUGAAUGAAUCGCAAAUCAUUUUUGACUUAGAUUGAUCAAAUGGUUGCGUGUCGUUGUUCCUAUUAGAUAACGACGGUUAGCGUAGUGAGCUACACACACCCCGAAACGAGAUAAAAGCUGCACUGCAAUACCGCACAUAUCGAAUCACCAGUCGUGAAGAAAUAUUUGAUCCUAUUCUGCGGCUUAACAUACUCACAAAGAUUCGGAUUAUUUUUGUCCGAAAACUAGAAAAAUUUAAGAUCGAUAGC